rfam:Ictidomys tridecemlineatus contig009672, whole genome shotgun sequence.
GAGGAUAUAGCUCAGUUGGUAGAGCGCUUGUCUUGCAUGCACAAGGACCUGGGUUCAAUUCCCUGCACCAUAA